GGAUCACUUGAGGGCAGGAGUUCAAGACUAGACUGGGCAACAUAGUGAAACUCUGGUUCUACUAAAAUACAAAAUUUAGCCAGGCAUGGUGGUGUGUGCCUGUAAUCCCAGCUACUCGGGAGGCUGAGGCAGGAGAAUUGCUUGAAACCUGGAGGCAGAGGCUGAACAGAGCUGAGAUCGUGCCCCUGCACUCCAGCCUGGAUGACAGAGCAAGAUAGUCUCAAAAAAAAUUUUUUUUGUUUCAUAUGUAGUACCAUAGCACCAAGAAAGUGCUUAGGUGGUAAGUACAAAGGUGGCCAAGGUGAGUUCUGACAGUACAGAAUGGGGUUUCCAUGGAGACGGCAAAUAAUGAAGCAGUGGAUGGGGGAGGGGGAUGUAUGCUCCAAGGUUGUGCCCACUCGGCACGACCCAGGUUCCAUGCUACAGGCCUCUACUUGUCCAGACCUGAGGGUCAGAUUCAGAUGGUGCAAAUGUUUAAGACCUGGGUCUUCAACGAGAUGAAUUAUCAGCUAUUUCAUAGCUGCAGUGUUGGAUAUGCCGAGACGAUAAAAGCAACAGCAAUCAGAAUCAACAGUUGAAACGACAUGGCAGACGCUGUGAAUGCUAUGAACUGCUGUGCUGAGCAGCAGGAUUCCUGUGUCCUGGCGCAAUGCCCAUGGGGAUUCAUGCUUUCAGAGGGUCACGCCUCAGGAACACGUAGAAGGGCAAGCAUUUCAUCUGGCAGGGCACUGAUUUAAUCUGCACGCAUGUUUGGCUGUAAAACUAGCUCCUCCCCCUUACCAUUUUUGAGUCGCUGCCGGACUCAAAUUCCACAGAUUCUGGAAGGUGUCCAGGAACUCGUUGAUUUGUCAAACUUAUGGCUACACACAGCUGGAAUGGAGACGGACUCCACUGAGGAGACUCAUACAGGACAGGAGGGAAUUUUAAGAGGAUAACCCUGAGAUUGAAAACAUCAAACCAAACCUGAAGCACUGAGAGGUUGGGUAACCAGCUCUGGUCACUGAGUUGGUGAGGGAUGGAUUCAGAAGAGGUCUCCAAUUGUGACACCGCAGAGGACCUGCUCUUGGCCACUACACUCUACCAGCUCUGCAAGAAGAAUGAUGAGUGAUCACCAUAACAUAAACAGACACCACUGAGCGGACUCAUUCUUGGUCUUCUGUCUGAUUCUGGGAGAUUCAGAGCUCUGGCUCUGCCACUAACAGCAGGGAGUUGGAGAAACGAUUUUGCUGCUCUGGAGCUCAGCUUCCUGAUUUUGAGGGGGAUGUCUUGGAGGUUCUCCCCACAUCUGGAAUUCUGGGAUUAUAUGGUGCCUUAUGCUAGUGGUAGGGGCGCUUCCACACUUUUCAUCUCAGACCCACAGAGCCAGUGUGUGCGGCUGAGGUGCUCAGACUGGCAGGUGAAAUGACUUCAUUAGUGCCCUGGCUCCUGGUGGGAUGAGAGUGGAAACCCAGCCUUCUGAGUUGAAGAACUGGAACAAACAUCAGCCCUGACACAUUGAUGUCAGUUUACCUUUGUGAGAAACAGGAACGAAAUGUGAACAUCUAUUUCAGGGGGAAGAAAAUAGGGCUGUUUUGAGGAGAUGUGGCUGAGAAAACAGAAAAAGAGAAUUACAGGCCUGAAAUCCCAGCACUCUGGGAGGCUGAGGCCCCUGGCGCUGGUUCUCUCUGGAGGUUGAGUUUCCGUGGGGAGAGAAGAGUGCCCAGCGUGACCACCGUUGGCUGACUUCCCAUGCCUUAUUCCUUGUUUCCCCCGCUGGGGCCCAGCCCACCAGCCCCGCAGUGCAUGAAGCCACUUAUCACCACGGUUCCCAGAGAGGACGGGCUGGCCCAAGUCUGCAUUGUCACCUGCUCUGGGGAAAACAAAGCCCUCUCCCCCGCCCUCCCCGCAGCAUGCUGGGCACAGGGCCAGCCCGUUCUAUGUUUUCAGUAAAUUUUCAAACAUGCUGGUUUUGGUGGCAGCUUUUGCAGUGAUUAUCUCAUUAGGGGCUUGGCCCUGAAACACCUUAUUUAUUGUGGAUUGAAAAAAGUUCACCUUUUCAAGCAAAAAAAAAAACAAAAAAAAACAAACAAAAAAAAAACAGAAGAAAGAAAUAAAAGAACCAGACUGUAGUUUCCCUGGAAAAUUUUCGCUUGUGGGAAAAUACCUCCCCGGCCCGUAGAGAGACGCCAUCACCAACAGUGUGGAGUUAUCAGAUGGGACUGGUCCAGCUUUGUGGGGCCGGGGCACACAGUGCCAAUGUCCAGGUAGUUUCCAAACCGUGUUUUGUUUCCUCUGUCCUCUUUAUAAACCCACGGAUUGAACCUCAUGGGCCCACAAGUUCCUGAUUGCUUCGUAUAUAUUGUACAGAUUUUUUCAGGAAAAUAAAAUAGAUCUUGCUCUACCCUGACAGAGCAGGGCCGAUAUUCUCUAGAAGAGAGGAGAACUCUAGAAUGGAUGGCAGCACUCUGAGUGUGUAACCCAAACAGCAUGCUGAAAUAGUAAAACUCUGCCGCAGGGGCAGAUGGCUGCUGGGAGAAUAUUUAUAGCAGGGAUCUAGAAAUAACCGUAAGGGAAAAGCCUUCUGAGGAGGAACGGAACAAGAGUCUUCGGGGUGGCACUUGGAGACACUCUUGCUCUUGCCUGAGGUCCUGGAGGGCUGCAGGCCGACCGCUGCACGGGAGAGAAUAUACGUGGUAUUCACAGGGUACACAGAAGUCAUAAUACUUCAUGUAGAUCUGUGCCACACAGAUGUGAGAGCUAGGACUUGGAAACAGGAAGAGAAGUGGGAGGAUGAUUAGGAGCGUAAUUGGUAAAUGUAGUACAGUCAAGGCAGACGCUGUAAAAGGACCGGGCACUGCAGAGCUGCAGGACAAGAGCCUGGGGACACGACAGUCAACCAGCCCGUGGGCAUCAUGGAAACAGCACUUUGCAGGCACCUGAGUGAAGCACAGGAAGGAAAUGCAGACACAGGUGAAGGAGCACGGGGUUGGGUUAGAGCCAGGCAGCAUCCCCCCAGCCGCUCCAUGCUAAAGCCUUCAUCGAUUGCCCAGAGAGUGGGGGUUCUCAGUUAACGUUGGAACCAUACAGCAAUGAGGCCUGGGUACUACUUGUAAUUUUCUGUUUAUUUCUAACUUUAUGAACUGCGUCAAGUAUACUUCCUAGCAUGGGUUCAGUAUUUUGCAACAAAUCUUUCUGCCGUGGAUAUAAAUUCAUGAGCUUCAGGUUUCAUUAAAGAGAAGUACACAAAUGAAGUACCCAGACUAACAUUUGAAAAUUUAAUUUUAUGUUUGUUUUUAUUUUUUAAGGGACAGGGUUUCACUAUGCUCAGGCUGGACUCAAACUCCUGGGCACAAGUGAUCCUCCUGCCUCAGCCUCCUGAGUAGCCGGGACCAUAGGCACACACCACCACGCCCAGCUCAAACUAACAUUUGACUGCCUUGUGAAAUAUUACCUAGUCACUAUCCCAGGUCCCUGACAGCAUAGACCAGCAAAACAUUAGAAUGACACCAGACCUAUUAUAACUGCAAGCCAUGAACAGGAUUUCAAGAAAAGAGAUGGAAGAAUGUUCAGAUUCCUAAAAAUCUUCUUAAAAGAGAACUCCUAGCUUUCCACAAAAUUCACUUAAUUUCUUAAGUGAUUUUUAUCUUUUAAAAGCACAAUAAAAAG
rnacentral:lncRNA from 1 species